rnacentral:lncRNA from 1 species
UGGUGGGUGUUAAGUCCCUGGCAAGUGUACCAGAUCGUUAUCAAGUAAUAUAAAAUGGGUAAGUCCAAGUAUCGUUUCCCAAAGGACUCUUAGGCCUUAACUUUUGUGUAACCUAAUUGUGUAAGACUUGAGAAAAGAAUUAAAUUUAGGUUUUUGAAUGCAAAAGUAAACAUGCAAAUGUAGUGAUUCAAUUGGCAAGGAAAACCUAUGGAUGAAUGGAGUUGUUGGGGUUUACAAUUUCAUCUUAUCCACCCUCUUAUAUCUACUCUUCUUAUCUACUUCGCUUAUUUAUCAUAUUGUCAUGCAAACUUUCUUGGUCUACUCUUAACCCAAUCUCUUGGCGGAAAGAGCAUAUUACUAAUUACCGGCUGGCUAUCUCUAGCCUCCCCUAGUAACUAAUAAUGCAUGAUAAAC